rnacentral:lncRNA from 1 species
AUUUAUAUUUUUUUUUUUACUAAAUGUUUCCAUUGGAAACAUUAAAAAAAGUAUAAUUAAGCUAUAAUUCUUCACCGUUUGACCAUUAGAUCUCAACGGUUAUGGUCUAUGGGCCAUUGAAUUUUGUUUUCAAAAAAUAACAUCACGUAGGCUUUCCCACCAUUUGAAUUGUUACAUGAUUUUUGUGGGUCCCAAAAAAGAGCUCUAGGAUCACCUUGAGGGUCAAAUUUGGACCUCUCCACUCACCUCCACCCCUCUUGCUCUCUAGCCCUUUAUUAUUAGAGCCAGUUUGUUUAGAAUUAUGGCCAUAGAGUUCACUUGGCCCUCCUUACUAGAGAUGGCCUUACAUACCCCCUCCCUCCCCUACAAGACUUGACAAUUUGCCAAACAACACAUUUUUGUGGGUCCCCUGUCCCCAACUCCAUGUCUACACCCCCUCCGCCUCCUAUUGGACUCCAACAGGUCAUUUACUUGUGUCCCCUAUUUUGAUUAGAAGUAUUAGAAAAAGUUGGUAUUUAACAGUUGAUGCAAUCAUAUUUGAAUUGGUUGUACAAGCUGAUGAAUAGAGAUGAUGAUUAUAAUCAUAAACAACAUUUUAGUUUUAAAAAAAAAAAAUUAGUUGUUAGUUUUUUUUUUUUAUACUAUAUGCAUUUAGCUUUCAUGUUUGUAUAUAUGUAGACUGUAUGAUGAUUUGGUGAUAAAACAUGUUGUAUUACAUGUAUAAAUUAACAUUGCAUAUUGUUAAGGCAUUGAAUAAAGUAAACUCCCGGCUUGUGAAAUUAUAAUAGUUUUCAUGGCUAUCAGAAAUUUUGUGUUUGUG